ensembl:lncRNA
GCAAAGGACAUGAUAACUCAAAUAGUGCAGUAGCUCAGGGAAAUCAAGCAGCAGACACAGCAGCGAAACAGGCAGCAGGGUACACUCCGCGAGUAAUGAUGAAUUCACCAACAUUCGGAGAAAUGAAGAACCUGCACCCGUUGGACCAGAACCUGCCCCAGGCGGUGUGGGUGCUCCUGAAGGUCAUCAAGCGAAAGUGGUCGGAGCCAAGGUGAACAGGUCCUCAUCAGGUGGUGGAGAGAACAAGCCAUGCGGUCCGCCUGAGGGACAAAGGAGAGACGUGGUACCAUUGGAGCCAGUGUACACCAGCACAGGAGCCAGGGAGGUCACUGACGGACCUCAUCCAAACCGGGAAGGAGGAGCUUGCCCCAGUGUGGACGGAAGGAGGACCAAAACCAGUCGGGCCGGUGCCAGGAGCGGACCCCAGGAUACUGCGGGACUACGAGCGAGAGAAGAAGACAAAGGACGGCGCCAGGGGAAUAGCCUUUUAGGGGAAGGAACUGAAGAACACUAACAAAAGGGGUAUAGGACACCGAGUGGCUCCUACCACUCGUACCAAGAUGACAGGGUUACAGAGAAAGGUCUGGGGAGAUGAGAAUAGAAUGAAGUGGUACAUGGACAUUGGUGGAAUAAUGAUGUGUGUUGUAUGUUGUUACAGGUUUCCCAGGUUGGCAUCGGGUCUUCAUUCCCCCAAUGACUUCGUUGCCAGCCUUCUCAUAAGGACUCACUUCAUGUUCAAAGAUUACAGUGAUGGUCUGAAAUCUUCUUGUACCAGACACAUAUCUGGUUGCCUUCUGUUCCAUCAUUUAGAAUUAACACCAACACAGAGGUUGCUCUUCAGCCAGUCACAGAAGAGGUGGUGGUCCCAUCCACCAAUGGGGUGUCAGAUGAGAAGGAAGUGUUGGAACACAAUGGGACAGGAAUUCUCUUCAUCCUGGACUU